rnacentral:rRNA from 1 species
GAUGAACGCUGGCGGCGUGCCUAACACAUGCAAAGUCGAACGAAGCACUUCGAUUUCUUCGGAAUGAAAAAGUGACUGAGUGGCGGACGGGUGAGUAACGCGUGGGGUAACCUGCCUCAUACAGGGGGAUAACAGUUAGAAAUGACUGCUAAUACCGCAUAAGCGCACAGUAUCGCAUGAUACAGUGUGAAAAAACUCCGGUGGUAUGAGAUGGACCCGCGUCUGAUUAGCUAGUUGNGGGUAACGGCCUACCAAGGCGACGAUCAGUAGCCGACCUGAGAGGGUGACCGGCCACGAUUGGGACUGA